rnacentral:rRNA from 1 species
GACGAACGCUGGCGGCGUGCUUAACACAUGCAAGUCGAACGGAAAGGCCCUGCUUUUGUGGGGUGCUCGAGUGGCGAACGGGUGAGUAACACGUGAGUAACCUGCCCUUGACUUUGGGAUAACUUCAGGAAACUGGGGCUAAUACCGGAUAGGAGCUCCUGCUGCAUGGUGGGGGUUGGAAAGUUUCGGCGGUUGGGGAUGGACUCGCGGCUUAUCAGCUUGUUGGUGGGGUAGUGGCUUACCAAGGCUUUGACGGGUAGCCGGCCUGAGAGGGUGACCGGCCACAUUGGGACUGAGAUACGGCCCAGGCUCCUACGGGAGGCAGCAGUGGGGAAUAUUGCACAAUGGGCGGAAGCCUGAUGCAGCAACGCCGCGUGCGGGAUGACGGCCUUCGGGUUGUAAACCGCUUUCGCCUGUGACGAAGCGUGAGUGACGGUAAUGGGUAAAGAAGCACCGGCUAACUACGUGCCAGCAGCCGCGGUGAUACGUAGGGUGCGAGCGUUGUCCGGAUUUAUUGGGCGUAAAGGGCUCGUAGGUGGUUGAUCGCGUCGGAAGUGUAAUCUUGGGGCUUAACCCUGAGCGUGCUUUCGAUACGGGUUGACUUGAGGAAGGUAGGGGAGAAUGGAAUUCCUGGUGGAGCGGUGGAAUGCGCAGAUAUCAGGAGGAACACCAGUGGCGAAGGCGGUUCUCUGGGCCUUUCCUGACGCUGAGGAGCGAAAGCGUGGGGAGCGAACAGGCUUAGAUACCCUGGUAGUCCACGCUGUAAACGGUGGGUACUAGGUGUGGGGUCCAUUCCACGGGUUCCGUGCCGUAGCUAACGCUUUAAGUACCCCGCCUGGGGAGUACGGCCGCAAGGCUAAAACUCAAAGGAAUUGACGGGGCCCCGCACAAGCGGCGGAGCAUGCGGAUUAAUUCGAUGCAACGCGUAGAACCUUACCUGGGUUUGACAUGGAUCGGGAGUGCUCAGAGAUGGGUGUGCCUCUUUUGGGGUCGGUUCACAGGUGGUGCAUGGCUGUCGUCAGCUCGUGUCGUGAGAUGUUGGGUUAAGUCCCGCAACGAGCGCAACCCUUGUUCACUGUUGCCAGCACGUUAUGGUGGGGACUCAGUGGAGACCGCCGGGGUCAACUCGGAGGAAGGUGGGGAUGACGUCAAGUCAUCAUGCCCCUUAUGUCCAGGGCUUCACGCAUGCUACAAUGGCUGGUACAGAGAGUGGCGAGCCUGUGAGGGUGAGCGAAUCUCGGAAAGCCGGUCUCAGUUCGGAUUGGGGUCUGCAACUCGACCUCAUGAAGUCGGAGUCGCUAGUAAUCGCAGAUCAGCAACGCUGCGGUGAAUACGUUCCCGGG